CCUGCCUCAAAGUGGGGGAUAGCCUUCCGAAAGGAAGAUUAAUACCGCAUAACAUAAGAGAAUCGCAUGAUUUUCUUAUCAAAGAUUUAUUGCUUUGAGAUGGACCCGCGGCGCAUUAACUAGUUGGUAAGGUAACGGCUUACCAAGGCAACGAUGCGUAGCCGACCUGAGAGGGUGAUCGGCCACAUUGGAACUGAGACACGGUCCAGACUCCUACGGGAGGCAGCAGUGGGGAAUAUUGCGCAAUGGGGGAAACCCUGACGCAGCAACGCCGCGUGGGUGAUGAAGGUCUUCGGAUUGUAAAGCCCUGUUUUCUGGGACGAUAAUGACGGUACCAGAGGAGGAAGCCACGGCUAACUACGUGCCAGCAGCCGCGGUAAUACGUAGGUGGCGAGCGUUGUCCGGAUUUACUGGGCGUAAAGGGUGCGUAGGCGGAUGUUUAAGUGGGAUGUGAAAUCCCCGGGCUUAACCUGGGGGCUGCAUUCCAAACUGGAUAUCUAGAGUGCAGGAGAGGAAAGCGGAAUUCCUAGUGUAGCGGUGAAAUGCGUAGAGAUUA
rnacentral:rRNA from 1 species